UACAGAGGGUGCAAGCGUUGUUCGGAAUUAUUGGGCGUAAAGCGCGUGUAGGCGGCUUUGCAAGUCGGAUGUGAAAGCCCUCGGCUCAACCGAGGAAGUGCGUUCGAAACUGCAGAGCUUGAGUGCCGGAGAGGGUGGCGGAAUUCCCCAAGUAGAGGUGGAAAUUCGUAGAUAUGGGGAGGAACACCGGUGGCGAAAGGC
rnacentral:rRNA from 1 species